rnacentral:piRNA from 1 species
UAAGUAGAAAUAUACCAAGGUACAGGAGCC